rnacentral:rRNA from 1 species
GACGAACGCUGGCGGCGUGCUUAACACAUGCAAGUCGAACGGAAAGGCCCUGCUUUUGUGGGGUGCUCGAGUGGCAAACGGGUGAGUAACACGUGAGUAACCUGCCCUUGACUUUGGGAUAACUUCAGGAAACUGGGGCUAAUACCGGAUAGGAGCUCCUGCUGCAUGGUGGGGGUUGGAAAGUUUCGGCGGUUGGGGAUGGACUCGCGGCUUAUCAGCUUGUUGGUGGGGUAGUGGCUUACCAAGGCUUUGACGGGUAGCCGGCCUGAGAGGGUGACCGGCCACAUUGGGACUGAGAUACGGCCCAUACUCCUACGGGAGGCAGCAGUGGGGAAUAUUGCACAAUGGGCGGAAGCCUGAUGCAACAACGCCGCGUGCGGGAUGACGGCCUUCGGGUUGUAAACCGCUUUCGCCUGUGACGAAGCGUGAGUGACGGUAAUGGGUAAAGAAGCACCGGCUAACUACGUGCCAGCAGCAGCGGUGAUACGUAGGGUGCGAGCGUUGUCCGGAUUUAUUGGGCGUAAAGGGCUCGUAGGUGGUUGAUCGCGUCGGAAGUGUAAUCUUGGGGCUUAACCCUGAGCGUGCUUUCGAUACGGGUUGACUUGAGGAGGAUAGGGGAGAAUGGAAUUCCUGGUGGAGCGGUGGAAUGCGCAGAUAUCAGGAGGAACACCAGUGGCGAAGGCGGUUCUCUGGGCCUUUCCUGACGCUGAGGAGCGAAAGCGUGGGGAGCGAACAGGCUUAGAUACCCUGGUAGUCCACGCUGUAAACGGUGGGUACUAGGUGUGGGGUCCAUUCCACGGGUUCCGUGCCGUAGCUAACGCUUUAAGUACCCCGCCUGGGGAGUACGGCCGCAAGGCUAAAACUCAAAGGAAUUGACGGGGCCCCGCACAAGCGGCGGAGCAUGCGGAUUAAUUCGAUGCAACGCGUAGAACCUUACCUGGGUUUGACAUGGAUCGGGAGUGCUCAGAGAUGGGUGUGCCUCUUUUGGGGUCGGUUCACAGGUGGUGCAUGGCUGUCGUCAGCUCGUGUCGUGAGAUGUUGGGUUAAGUCCCGCAACGAGCGCAACCCUUGUUCACUGUUGCCAGCACGUUAUGGUGGGGACUCAGUGGAGACCGCCGGGGUCAACUCGGAGGAAGGUGGGGAUGACGUCAAGUCAUCACGCCCCUUAUGUCCAGGGCUUCACGCAUGCUACAAUGGCUGGUACAGAGAGUGGCGAGCCUGUGAGGGUGAGCGAAUCUCGGAAAGCCGGUCUCAGUUCGGAUUGGGGUCUGCAACUCGACCUCAUGAAGUCGGAGUCGCUAGUAAUCGCAGAUCAGCAACGCUGCGGUGAAUACGUUCCCGGGGCU